rnacentral:snRNA from 1 species
GGUUUCCCGUAGGCAGCCAUACAAAAAAAUUGGAACAAUACAGAGAAGGGCUUUAUUGUGUGUCUGGAAGAUUUUACCAUGAUUCCUGGAGUGGUAAAUCACUCCAUUUGUGGAAAAUUAUGCUUUUUGGAUAUUUUGAUAUUUUGGCCCAGUCAGUGUCCAGGUCAAAAAUAUAAUAUUGUUCAGUUAGCAUGGCCCCUGCACAAGGAUGACACACUUUCCAGAGUGGUAGAUCUAUGGAUCUCAAUAUUUAU